rnacentral:pre_miRNA from 1 species
CUUGGAUGGGGGGGCCCUCAGCCCAGAUUGUGAGAGGGUGCAGGCCAGGCCGAGGGACCCCACCAGUGCAUG